rnacentral:pre_miRNA from 1 species
GUUGUACUCUCUUCGUUUUAAAAAUUUUAUCUUAGAUUUUGUCUAAAUAUUAAUGUAUCUAAUCAUGUUUUAGUAUUUAGAUACAUCUAUUUUUAGACAAACUUAAAAUAAGAAUUUUAAGACGGAGUAAGUAGUAA